UUUCCGUAGGUGAACCUGCGGAAGGAUCAUUAAUGAGUUGUCAUGGGGUUCGAUGCUGGCAGCCAGUUUUUGGAUGCAUGUGCUCGCCCUAACAAUCAUCUUCUUCCAAACACCUGUGCACAUUUUUGAGGGAGUCUUGAGUUGGUUGCCGCUCUUGGGUGAUUUUCUCACAUUCCCUUAAAUCAUUAUACGCUAUUAACAAUGUUGAACGUGCUCUGUGCCGCAAGGCCAUUAAUAUAAUACAACUUUUAACAACGGAUCUCUUGGCUCUC
rnacentral:misc_RNA from 1 species